rnacentral:rRNA from 1 species
AUGAGUCCACCAUACCUUCCUAUAUGCGGUAUUUACUUUCCGUUCCAAGUAAAUUUGUAUGUGCCAAACUCCAAACCUUCAAAUGAAAUUCUGUUUUGUAUGCUCGAGCAACUCAUGUUUCAACUAGGGUUGCAUAUAUCUUCCAUGCUAGGUGGGUUAUUCUCAAGAGGAGUGGACUCCGCUCCUCAUUCGCGAGAAAGGGCCGUUAACCGGGAUGCCCAGUCCCAUGAUCCAAAAAGAUCAAAGCAAAUCAAAAUAAUUAAACAAAACUCCCCCAGGGCUAUUGUUAGUUGGAGGCACUCGUUGUUUUGA